rnacentral:other from 1 species
GGUUCUAACCGGUAGCUAUUUCUUAAUUUUAAGUAUGAUGUUGUGUUUGCAUAUUGGUCUAGGAAACUAGACAGGAGUAAUAUUUAUUACUCAUUUCACUUCCUGUAUAUUUUAAACCCUUUGGGUUUUAUGCCCCUCCUUUUGAGGGGCUUUUUUU